rnacentral:lncRNA from 10 species
AGAGUUAAUAAUAGUAGAGAAUAAAAUCAAAUAUAAGCAAUACUUAACCUCUUCUAAUGACUGAAAGAAGAACAAAGAAUUACUAGAAAAAAUUGUUACAUACAAUUUUCACCCACCCCAUGCCUAGCAGAGUGCCUUUUACUCAUGAACUUACCUGGUUAAAUCAAAUUAAAAUAAAUUUCCUUUUAGAUAUGAAAUUUUGAGCAUUCCUAUAUUUUUGUCACUUAAAGUAAUUUUUCACUUUCAUCAUUAAAUCUAAAUGUUGGCCAGGCCCAAAUAAUUUCAAUCUGGACUUACUUUUCAUUGAAAUGUUUCAACAUUAAAAACAUAUCUCUUUCUCCUUUUUUUGAAACUCGAGCACAUACACAGCAAGAGCAUUCAGACUAUAGGCUUUUCGUCAAGGACACGAUUCUCUUUCUAAUGCAUAUUUGGGACUGACAGACAGAAUUACUGAGGAUCAGCAGUCAUGGGGAGAAAAGGAAAAACAAGUGAAAUGGUAGAUUGAAAUGGUGUAAACCACAACCUACAACCCACUCCCCACUCCCAAUCAUUCUUACCCCAAUCUGUUUUCUUUUCCUGUAGCAUUUACUAAAGACAAGAUCCAUGCUGUACGUGGCAUUUGCAGUCUUGGAGGAUGCAAAAUAACUCUGAGCUUGGAUUAUAUUUCUAGAUGGUUACAGUUCAGAAUUUCAUAACAGUCAUCAGGCUUACUGGAUUUUGUGCUUUGCUUUCACUGUUGGAUAUUUGUUGAAAUUCAAUGUGGAACUAAUUCAAGAGCAAGGAGGCCCACAUGGUGUACUUUAGGGGCCGGGCCUGGAAGGGGUAUAUCCCACCUCCAUCCCAUGGUCAUCUGUCUGCUUUCAAAGCUCCUCCUACUCUCCUGCUGGGGAAGGCCAACUCCUUUCUCCUUUAUCAAACAAGUAUUUGUUCUGGUUGACACAUUAAAAUCUUUACCAACAAGUGAAGCAACGGGCACCAAGGAAACUGCUGCCUCGUUGGUGAUCAGGAAGCCACCAAGAUCAGGAAGUGAUAUAAUUAGAAAGUGGCCACCAUCCGUACUUGCCACAGAAAACCCUGACACAACCAUGAUGGUGCUGCCGGAGAAACAGCAGCCCCAGAAAACAUGAGCUCUGACUCACUUCCCCUUCCACAUUUCAUCUGGGCACGUCUGACUGGCAGAACUUAAAUCACAUCCAGAGACCCAGGGACAAACGCAUCUGAAAAAUAGAAAAGAACGUGGAAAACAAUGGUUGCUAGUUUUCCAGACUCCAAAGUAUAGGAAGGAACAUUGGAAAGUUGGAAAUCCAUUUCACCUCCAACCUACCACACCCUCUUACCCACCAGUGGUGGGGGAUUAAGUGACCAGACAUGCUCCAGGGUGUUUAGAGCAACUUUCAAAGGUGAGAACCUGAGAUAUUUUCUGCUAAAAGCAGAAAUCAGGAGACAGCACUCAUAUAAGUGCACUAACAAGAAAGAAAAGUGGAAAAUAUUUGAAGGAGACUGGGUGCCAUUUAUAAACCAAAGAUUCCAGAACUGGGCAACCUCUUUGUUUCAAUGCAGCCACUGUGAUUCCUAGCUUUUUGCAAAGAACUGCAAGAAUCAGCAGGGUUUUACAACACCCUAGCCAGCCACACACUGUAGGACUGAGGGAGGCCACAGGUAGGGUGAAUUUCCAAGUCUGAAAAAUACCAGGGAAGCCAAAGAAACAGACACUAGGUUGAGCUUGCAGGAGUGACUCUGAACGUCGGCACCCAGCUCUUGGUUUUGUUUGUCAUAUCAGUCCCUGCUGAGGAAAGCAAACAGCAGGUAACUGUAGAACACACCUGUCUAUAGCAGCUGUUUGAUGUUAGUAGGCUUUGAUUGUCAACCGAGCAAUUUGCUUAGGAUUUGGAAACAAAGGAAGGAGAUUGUCAAAAGCCCGAGGAGCAGGUGACAUGCAGCAUGCCUGUGUGCUCCCAGCAGUCAGGAGGAGGAUGCGUGAGUGAGAGAUUGGCACCAGAGCUAGUGCAGUUUGGGGAAGUGACAGCCUCCUACGGGGCAAUAAUGGGAACUCUGCAAUAAUGUGCCAACUUCCUAUCCCAAUGAAGUGUUGAUGUCAGCAGAGACCACACUACAGGCAAACUAGUCUAACCAGUGUCGGGGUGGGACCUAGGGAGGAAAAUUGCUCAAUUCUUAGUAUGGUUAGAGAAAAACGUCAGGGCCAGGCUCAGUGGCUCACGCCUGUAAUCCCAGCACUUUGGGAGGCCAAGGAGGAAGGAUGGCUUGAGCCCAGGAGUUCACGACCAGCCUGGGCAACAUAGCAAGAUCCCAUCUCUAAAAAUAAAAUAAAAUUUUAAAAAGAGAUACAUCAGUGAAGAGUCCAUGAAGGAUGCCAGCUGGAAUGAUUUAUAGGUGAUAGUGACUAAUCUAGAGUCUACUGUGACUGAGAAGUGAAUCAACCCUGCUGACUCUUGCAGUUCUUCAGACACUGAGGAGUGUCUAAACCCACCUGUCCUUUAAGAUCCAGCUCCAGUCCCAAGUCGACUCAUUCACUCACUGAUUCAUUCAUUCAAGGGUUUCUACUCAGCACCUUUUGUGUACAAGAUAUACAAUGAACCAUGCUAGUCAUGGUGUCCACAGGGAGAUGAAUAAAAGUAAUUUCUCUCUAAUAUGAUGAUAGGACAUGAAUAAAUAACUCUAUUACAAGGUAGCAAGUGAAAUAAAGUAAUGUGAAAAUUCCAGGAUGGGACAGUUACUUCAGUUUGGUGGAGGAAAAUGAGAAGGAUCUGGGAGGCCUUCCUGGAGGAGGAAGUGGUCUUGGUGAAGGCCUCGUGGAAUUUGUUGUCUUUCAAUAUAUCUGAUCUUUUCAUUUAUAUCUGACUUCAAUAAUGAGCUUUGAAAGUAUUUUUUAAUAAAUCAAGGUAAUGUAUAUAAAGAAAGGUGUUUAACCGUAUAGUGGGUAAUUAAUCAAUAUUAGCCCUUUUCUGGGAUGGAAAUGGGCCCAGAGGGAAAGGUAAAUGUUGUGAUUGAAUAUAAGUGGGAAAUGCACUGCAAUGCCUUGAUCUGCUUCAAUGUUAAAGGAUUGUGAUUGGCAGCUUUGCUGGAGUUCUUUGUUAUUUGUUUUGGAGCCAGGCCCUUCUGUAACCUGGGAAAGUGUUCCCCAUCGUAUUCUGGAGAAUUACUCUGAGCAUCUCUGUUUGUUUCUAACUAUGAUAUUCAGAGGAGGCAUACAGGAUUUUAACUGAAUUGAAAACAAGAUGUAAUGUGGGAAGUACUGGAGAUAUAGUAACUGUUGGGAAUGAGGAAAAUGUAUGAUGAAAAUGUGGACAUAGUUCCUGUAACUUUUGCACCUCUCAAACUCCAAUUGAAAUUUAAAUCCAAAAUGCAUUAUUCUGAGGAUAAUUGUUCAGCAUAAAAUUAUGAACUCAAAUUAGUAUCUCAUCACCCUUUCAAAGGAAAGCCUGAGAACCAAGGACAUAGAACCAAAUUUUAGCUUUCCCAUCAGACCCCUCCAGGUCACUGUUAAAGUAUUGCUGGGGGAGGGGGGAAGAGCUGGGAAAGCAAUGGUGUGGUCACACAUUAUGCAUCUGCACCAGUCUUGAGAGCUCUGCAAAUCUGUCCUAUAGGUGGUGUGGGAACAAGGAGUUAUUCAGGCUGCGAAACAAUAAAUGGGGAAACAUUAAGUGGACAGUUGUCCAGGCAGAGAGUCAUAACCAGGCUAAAGCACCCAGGGACCCCCCACGGCCAGGUCCCUAUGGAUGUCACCAGCAGCAUACACAGCAGGCAACUCCCUUUCUCCCCUGGCAGCACUGGACCAGGUGUCCUAAGAUCUAGAUCCUGUCCUUACUCUGUGUGAUUCUAUUCUAGCCCCAACCUUUCUAGAUCCAAAUUUUCUCAUCUUUAAAAUGCACCCACCUACAUCACAGGGUUGCCAUGCAGUUGAAAUAAGGUAAUAGUUAUGAAAGUACUUUGAAAAGCUGUAAGAAUUGUAAUAAUGUUAUUCCUUGACUAUAGAUUAACGAACAUAAUAAAAUUGCUAUUGCAGAUAUUAGCAUAAUAGCACAGAUUGUCCUUCCCUUUAAUGCAAUUCAUCAGGAAUAAAAUGCUUCUGCUUUUUCCUGACGUUCUCUCACCAUCUUUCCUCUGUAGGAGGCUAUGAGGCUCACUGGUCUCCAGAAAUGUACCUCUGUGUGCGGGAAUGUUCCAGAAGGCCACACUGUCUACAGGGCCAUUGCUUCACUGCAGAUUAGAUGUCCUCCCAGAACCUUCCAGGGCACUAAUUGCCUAAACAGC